UACAGAGGUCCCAAGCGUUGUUCGGAUUCAUUGGGCAUAAAGGGUGCGUAGGCGGCGCGGUAAGUCGGGUGUGAAAUCUCGGAGCUUAACUCCGAAACUGCAUUCGAUACUGCCGUGCUUGAGGACUGGAGAGGAGACUGGAAUUUACGGUGUAGCGGUGAAAUGCGUAGAUAUCGUAAGGAAGACCAGUGGCGAAGGCGGGUCUCUGGACAGUUCCUGACGCUGAGGCACGAAGGCCAGGGGAGCAAACGGG
rnacentral:rRNA from 1 species